UACGUAGGGGGCUAGCGUUGUCCGGAAUCAUUGGGCGUAAAGCGCGCGUAGGCGGCCCGGUAAGUCCGCUGUAAAAAUCAAAGGCUCAACCUUUGAAUGUCAGUGGAUACUGCCGGGCUAGAGUCCGGAAGAGGCGAGUGGAACUCCUGGUGUAGCGGUGGAAUGCGCAGAUAUCAGGAAGAACACCCGUGGCGAAGGCGGCUUCUGGGCCGGUACUGACGCUGAGGUACGAGAACGUGGGGGAGCAAACAGGAUUAGAA
rnacentral:rRNA from 1 species